rnacentral:piRNA from 1 species
UAUAACAAAACCCAAAAAUGACUGGUGCUU